GACGAACGCUGGCGGCGUGCUUAACACAUGCAAGUCGAACGGAAAGGCCUGCAGCUUGCUGCGGGUACUCGAGUGGCGAACGGGUGAGUAACACGUGGGUGAUCUGCCUUGCACUUCGGGAUAAGCUUGGGAAACAGGGUCUAAUACCGGAUAGGACAGCUGUUUAGUGUCAGUUGUGGAAAGUUUUUUCGGUGCAAGAUGAGCUCGCGGCCUAUCAGCUUGUUGGUGGGGUAAUGGCCUACCAAGGCGUCGACGGGUAGCCGGCCUGAGAGGGUGUACGGCCACAUUGGGACUGAGAUACGGCCCAGACUCCUACGGGAGGCAGCAGUGGGGAAUAUUGCACAAUGGGCGGAAGCCUGAUGCAGCGACGCCGCGUGGGGGAUGAAGGCCUUCGGGUUGUAAACUCCUUUCGACAGGGACGAAGCGUAAGUGACGGUACCUGUAUAAGAAGCACCGGCUAACUACGUGCCAGCAGCCGCGGUAAUACGUAGGGUGCGAGCGUUGUCCGGAAUUACUGGGCGUAAAGAGCUCGUAGGUGGUUUGUCGCGUCGUCUGUGAAAUUCCGGGGCUUAACUCCGGGCGUGCAGGCGAUACGGGCUGACUUGAGUGCUGUAGGGGAGACUGGAAUUCCUGGUGUAGCGGUGAAAUGCGCAGAUAUCAGGAGGAACACCGAUGGCGAAGGCAGGUCUCUGGGCAGUAACUGACGCUGAGGAGCGAAAGCAUGGGUAGCGAACAGGAUUAGAUACCCUGGUAGUCCAUGCCGUAAACGGUGGGCGCUAGGUGUAGGGGGCUUCCACGUCUUCUGUGCCGUAGCUAACGCAUUAAGCGCCCCGCCUGGGGAGUACGCCCGCAAGGCUA
rnacentral:rRNA from 1 species